GCUCUGUGAUAGGGAAAUGUAGAGAAGGGAGCAGGCAGGUGGGCGAGGAGAGUAAUACUGUGAGUGUGAAACUUUUCUAAAUGAAAUUGUUACCAUGGGAACAACUUUAUAAAGUACCAUAAUGAACAUUUUCUUAUAAGAUUAAGUUUUCCACAGUCCUUUCACCCUAAUAGAUCAGCUGUAUUUUGCAUGUGUGUUUAAUUAUAGCUCAUGUAGGUGUAAUAAUAAUAGAUAUUUGCAUAUGUUGACUUUUACAGUUAAUGUUAUGUCCUAUUAUAUUUGUCUCAU
rnacentral:lncRNA from 1 species